GACGAACGCUGGCGGCGUGCUUAACACAUGCAAGUCGAACGGAAAGGCCCUGCUUGCAGGGUACUCGAGUGGCGAACGGGUGAGUAACACGUGGGUGAUCUGCCAUGCACUUCGGGAUAAGCCUGGGAAACUGGGUCUAAUACCGGAUAGGAGCCAUUUUUAGUGUGAUGGUUGGAAAGUUUUUUCGGUGUAGGAUGAGCUCGCGGCCUAUCAGCUUGUUGGUGGGGUAAUGGCCUACCAAGGCGGCGACGGGUAGCCGGCCUGAGAGGGUGGACGGCCACAUUGGGACUGAGAUACAGCCCAGACUCCUACGGGAGGCAGCAGUGGGGAAUAUUGCACAAUGGGCGCAAGCCUGAUGCAGCGACGCCGCGUGGGGGAUGACGGCCUUCGGGUUGUAAACUCCUUUCGCUAGGGACGAAGCUUUUUGUGACGGUACCUAGAUAAGAAGCACCGGCUAACUACGUG
rnacentral:rRNA from 1 species